AACAGGAUUAGAUACCCUGGUAGUCUUUGCCGUAAACGAUGUGUACUUGAUGUAUUCGGGCUCAACCCCGAGUGUGUCGUAGCCAACGCGAUAAGUACACCGCCUGGGGAGUACGCCCGCAAGGGUGAAACUCAAAAGAAUUGACGGGGACCCGCACAAGCAGUGGAGCAUGUGGUUUAAUUCGAUGCAACGCGAAGAACCUUACCCAGGCUUGACAUACAGAGGAAGUUUUUAGAGAUAGAGACGUCCGCGAGGAUCUCUGUACAGGUGCUGCAUGGCUGUCGUCAGCUCGUGCCGUGAGGUGUUGGGUUAAGUCCCGCAACGAGCGCAACCCUUAUUGUUAGUUGCCAACAGGUGAAGCUGGGAACUCUAACGAGACUGCCCGGGUUAACCGGGAGGAAGGUGAGGAUGACGUCAAGUCCGCAUGGCCCUUACGCCUGGGGCUACACACGUGCUACAAUGGUAAGAGACAGAGGGUAGCCAAGCCGCGAGGCGGAGCCAAUCUCCAAAACUUACCCCAGUUCAGAUUGUAGUCUGCAACUCGACUACAUGAAGCCGGAAUUGCUAGUAAUGGCGUGUCAGCAACAGCGCCGUGAAUACGUUCCCGGGUCUUGUACACACCGCCCGUCACAUCAUGGGAGUUGCUUUUGCCCGAAGCUACUGGCCUAACCGCAAGGGGGGAGGUAGUUAAGGUGAGGGCGAUGACUAGGAUGAAGUCGUAACAAGGUAACC
rnacentral:rRNA from 1 species